rnacentral:lncRNA from 1 species
AAAAAAAAAACAGAUCAACCUUGAGGGAUCCCAUUCUGGGCAAUUCUCCCAAGUCAAGCAUUCUUAAGAAUUCUUAUUUUAAGAAUUAGAUUCAGCCAUAUUAUAUUCCAUAUUAUUAACUUUUCUUUCUAUCAUUUGUUUAUUAGUGCAUAGCAUUCAACUAUAUGCCAAACACAAGGCUAACAGAAGUAAAAGUAUAACAAGUACAGUCAGCAAAAAAGACCUCAAUGGUAAACUGUUGAGAAGCUGGGGUGAUGAGUUUCCCACUCACGAUUCAAAUGUCCCAGAUGAACCUGUGAGAAAAGGAGCAGAGGAGAGAAUUCAAAACAAAGCUUGCUCCUGAAAUCUUGGGAUUCUGACUUGUGAAUUGACAGGCGAUCCCCAUGGAGCUACUACUUGUGUAGGAAACAAAGUCAAAGAUCUGUUAAGCAAGUUAAAGAGCCUUUUUCAAAGUCCUGCCCAGAUGGAAGUUCCUGUUUACAUUUUCAUAGAAGUGGAUUGCCAUGAAAACAGGUUUGGGGAAAAUUAAUGGUGUGGUUUUCACAUAGUAAAUUGGCUACUGGCAUGUUAAUUGAAAAGAAUAUAAACUGUUCAUUGGCUAACUGAAUAAAAAACUGCUUAAACUAUCA